rnacentral:tRNA from 1 species
GGAGAGAUGGCUCAGUGGUUAAGAGCACUGACUGCUCUUCCAGAGGUCAUGAGUUCAAUUCCCAGCAACUACA